rnacentral:lncRNA from 1 species
AUCUAGUAUAAAUUUUAUAUUUUAUUUCCUUGUAUGUCAAGAAACAUAGCUCCUAUGGCUAAAAUAGAACAUGAUUAUUUUUUUUUUGGCUUUUGAAGAAAAUAGGACGAUCCAAAAAACAUUUAAAUAAAUUGAAAAGCCAAAAUAAUCAUUGAUGAGAGAUUUAACCAGAAGAAUUAAGGUGAGCGAUUCAGGCUCUUGAGAGCCUCUUGUUUGUAUAUCCAUGCCAA